UCCUUGGAUGUACAUCUACUGCUACCGAGGUCACCAUGGCAGUACCACUCAGCCCCAGUCCAGGGGCUGAAGUGAAUGUUGUGGAGUUCAAGGAGUAUAAGUGCUCUUGGGUGGGAGAGAAUAAACUGCAAUUUGAAGACUGCAGAUCAAGUUCUGUUAGACCUGAAGCAGCUCUCGGCUCUCUGGACACCAAAGUGCAGAAACGUGGACCUCAAGAUACCCGGAACCAAGAGGAAGUGGCGCAUGAGGCAGUUUCCACCUGGUACCUGGAGGGCGGAGACAGUGCCACCAAUUGCCAGUCACACAGUGUAGAUGAAAGUUAUUUGACCUUUCCCACCUUGGGGGACUUCUCAUUGUUCCCCGAGCCUGCCUGCAGCCCGGCCUUCCCAGUUUUGCUUAUAAAUCAAGAUGAGGCAGUAGAUACGAGUCAUGGAAAAGACAAGAAAAGUUACAAGUCUGUUGCCUGUAUAGAUGGCCUGUGAUUCUGCCUUGACAAUGAAGCAGAAGUGUUCAACAUUUACCUGCUAAGAAGCUUAUGAAGAUGGAGGUUCCACAAAGGAAUAUAAACAACAAUAACCAGAUGUGGAAUAACCAUGGCAAGCUUUUCCAUUCAAGCUUUUCCUGUAACCUCUUCUUUUAAGCUCAUUUAAUAAAGGCAAAGUCUGCAUUGAAAUCUGGUAGGCUCAUAAACUUCUCUUUAAUAAUUCCCUUCACUUCCCAUUAGAUUUUUAAUACCAUACUUAAAGCUCCUCCUAAUCACAGAUCAAUGAUGGCCUUUACCAUAACAUUUUAUUUUUUUAUUUUUUUAUUUUUUAUUAAAUUCUUUUAUUGGUACAUUGUAGGUAUACAACACAAUUACAUUUCUC
rnacentral:lncRNA from 1 species